GACAGAGGUUGCAAACGUUGUUCGGAAUCACUGGGCAUAAAGCGCACGUAGGCGGUCUGUUAAGUCAGGUGUGAAAAGCCCCCCGGCUCAACCGGGGAACAGCAUCUGAUACUGGCAGACUCGAGGAUGGUAGGGGUGAGUGGAACUCCAGGUGGAGCGGUGAAAAUGCGUAGAUAUCUGGAGGAACACCGGUGGCGAAGGGCGGCUCACUGGACCCGGUAUUGACGCUGAGGGUGCGAAAAGCGUGGGGAGCAACAGGG
rnacentral:rRNA from 1 species